AAAACAAUCUAGAAAAUCAAUUUUUUCUUUGAUUUGGGACAACACUCUUAAUUCAAAACGAUGUCUACCAAUACGCCAGAACUGACAACUCGGACUAUUAUUGAUUUGGAAGACAAGGAGUUGCAGGCUUUUUUGACAUCGCUUACUAGGACAAAAAUGAGUCCUGAAUACUUCGAAAAGGAACUCAACUUCGUAAUCAUGUCUGCUUCAAUGAUGGGUCCGUUUGCAUUGGUGUCUAUUCUACUAAACUUCUAUUUCUUGGCUAUAAUCUACAAAACAGAGGAGCUUCAUAAACUGGAUUACUUUCUCAUAUCUGUUCAAAGCGUGUCAGACCUCGUCUUCACAGGGCUAGCGAGUCUAACUGCUGCUGUAUUGGACACUUGGUCUGGGCUAAUCUACUACUGUGUUGGCUCUGAGCUGUUGUACGACGGAACCUGGG